AUUGAACGCUGGCGGCAUGCUUUACACAUGCAAGUCGAACGGUAACAGGGUGCUUGCACCGCUGACGAGUGGCGAACGGGUGAGUAAUGCGUCGGAACGUGCCGAGUAGUGGGGGAUAACGCAGCGAAAGUUGUGCUAAUACCGCAUACGUACUGAGGUAGAAAGUGGGGGACCUUCGGGCCUCACGCUAUUCGAGUGGCCGACGUCUGAUUAGCUAGUAGGUGAGGUAAAGGCUCACCUAGGCGACGAUCAGUAGCGGGUCUGAGAGGAUGGUCCGCAGCACUGGAACUGAGACACGGCCCAGACUCCUGCGGGAGGCAGCAGUGGGGAAUUUUGGACAAUGGGCGAGAGCCUGAUCCAGCCAUGCCGCGUGUCUGAAGAAGGCCUUCGGGUUGUAAAGGACUUUUGUCAGGGAGGAAAUCCCUAGUGCUAAUAACACUGGGGGAUGACAGUACCUGAAGAAUAAGCACCGGCUAACUACGUGCCAGCCGCCGCCGUAA
rnacentral:rRNA from 1 species